GGCCGCCGCCGCCAUCAGUCACCGAGGUAGGGUAGGGAAGAGACGUUCGCCACCGCUUCAAGGCCUGGGCCCAGCCAGUGGGCAGCCACAGCAGAGGCCUCCGGUAUCUGCAGGGCAGAGGGCGCGGCCUGUCCCGGGGCGCCCCCUAGCUCACCCGCCGACCCGGGGCCGGAGGGCCUGGAGCGCCCUGGAGGAGCGGCCCGCGCUCUGCGUCUCUCCGCGCUCUCUGCCAGACCGGAACUCUUGCAGUGAUUUCUUACGGGGAGUAAGGAUGAGGUGGGGAAUGAGACUGAAGAAAUGGAAUUAAAAAGAUAACUAUAACUAAAUAAAGAGGAGCCCUGCAGUAAUGUAAUGAGCCAUGAACUGAAGAGUAACAUUUAUUCAACUCUGCCUGUGAAGGAGGGAGAGGGAAAGACAACUAGAGACAGAGGAGAAACGGAAAAAGGAGUUCUCUUCAGAAGGGGCUGAGGAGGAUGGAAAAUGAAGACUCUCCCAAAGGGUGGAACCAAGAGCUGUGGAGGACAAGGACACCAGAGCCACUCCCAGUGAACAGAACCACAGCCUAAUCAAGGAACAGACUCUAUCACAAAAUCAAGAGGAGCUGGAUCAAGCCUCAGGUAGAACAUGAGGUGCUGGACUUUAAGAAUGAUGACAGGAUGGAUGAAGAAACAGAGACACCAUGAAGAUAAGACUGAUAUGGU
rnacentral:lncRNA from 1 species